rnacentral:rRNA from 1 species
GCUGGCGGCGUGCCUAACACAUGCAAGUCGAACGAGGUAGCAAUACCUAGUGGCAGACGGGUGAGUAACGCGUGGUCAACCUACCGUUGAGUGGGGGAUAACUAGCCGAAAGGUUAGCUAAUACCGCAUACGUCUCCGAGGGGCAUCCCUUGGCGAUAAAAGGAGCAAUCCGCUCGAUGACGGGACCGCGUCCCAUUAGCUAGAUGGUGGGGUAACGGCCUACCAUGGCUCCGAUGGGUAGCUGGUUUGAGAGAGCGACCAGCCACACUGGGACUGAGAAACGGCCCAGACUCCUACGGGAGGCAGCAGUGAGGAAUUUUCCGCAAUGGGCGAAAGCCUGACGGAGCGACGCCGCGUGUGGGAAGAAGGCCUUCGGGUCGUAAACCACUGUCGAAGGGGAAGAUAAUGACGGUACCCUUGGAGGAAGCCCCGGCUAACUACGUGCCAGCAGCCGCGGUAAGACGUAGGGGGCAAGCGUUAUUCGGAAUCAUUGGGCGUAAAGCGCUCG